UGGGGACAUUUCUACAUUGUUUUCUACAUUGUUACGAUGGCCACCACUACUCCAAACACUCCUGAAACAAGAGGAAUAUACAUCCAAAUGCGACUACCUGCUUUUGAGCCCAGUAGGCUGGGCAUACUUUUACAAUCAAACUUGGAGAGAAUUUGAUUAUGGUGGAAAAUUUGAUACUUUUUUCCAGUGGGACGGUGCCACACAGGGAUUGAGGUACCGUGUGACCAACCCACCAGAAACCAUUUCCAUAUCAGUCUGUUUGAACAAAAUGCUUCAUGACCAAAAUGAUCUUAUGCUGGUAAAUAAACUUUUUGUCUCAAAGCAGCGACGGGUCUGACUCCGAUAAGUAUGAUCAUGACUGGCCUACCCUGGAGGACAACCCUUUCGAAUGUUGCAAAACGAGUCUAUAUUUCAAGCAAAGCGACGUAUCUGUGUUAAACACCAAAAAUUUAUUUUUUUGUGUAAUCAACGGGGAUAUUGCAAACAGGAUAAUGCCUGAAAAAUGGCCUUGACUUACAGGUAAAUUCCAUGGUACAGUAUUUCUUUUAAUUUUUAUGGAUAUAAACAAAUAAUGGAACAGUGUGUAAUAUUAUCACUUUUUACAGCCAUGGAAAGGUUUUUGCACACUUCACUGAGGAGUCUAAAGCCACACUAAGGGGUGACUGGCAGUCUGUUUUGAGACUAAGGUAAAGGAAGCUAGAGGACACCUUUCAGGUAAAAGCAUUUACUUGAGAAAAUGACACUUAAAAUGUCAUGGUACCUUGUGAAUGUUUGCUUCUACUGUGGUGUUUGACUAACAGGAGGAGACACAACAUUGGGUUCAAGAAUCAUCAUCACAGGUAUAUAUACUGUGUAGUGGGUCAGACAAAAUGCAAAUUCUCUUUAAAUAUGAAGUUUUUAAAUUAACACAAUCAAGUGUAAUAUUCAUUUGUUUGUAUUUUAUAAAUUGUUAGGCAGAUGAUGCAAGUAUGAAUACACUGCAUCCUGUGUUGGAGGAUCUACUGCUUGAAUCAUCAUUUGAAAGAGGUACACUGUUUUGUUACGGGACUAGCAACAAAGGCAAAAGAGUUUUAAAGGAAGCCAGCAGCAAGUGGUGUUUGGAGCAGUCAAGUGUGCUGCUUGGUUCUGUUCAGCUGCCCAAAGUACUCUGUUUGGAGGAUGAAGAUGUUGAUGAGGCCUUGGACAAAUUACAGAAGGCUGAAUUUUCAGAGGACAGAAUGGUUGCUCUGGAAUCUUUCAGCUUUUUCUUUACUGAGAUGAAGGACAUGAACUUGUUCCCUGAACAUGUAAGUGAUGAGUCAUUUAUUACCUGUUGGUUACCAUUAAUAAAGCACUAAUUGUCAGC
ensembl:lncRNA